UCAUGAUGUUCUUGUCGUAGUAAUACCUGCAAACAGAACAGGCUGGUUCGAAUACACCCUGAGGAUCAUUCAGGGAGCUGUUAGCGGAUCAAACGAAGUUACGUGUUCAUUCUUCCUUUAUAGCCAGGGGAUGUCGAGAGUCAGUGGGAGCCAUUUUCUGGGUAACACUGGGUUAGGGUUGUUACGUUGUUGGUAUACUGAUUAUUAGAUUUUAUUAGUGGGGUCAAAGUUUAUUUUCAAAGCAAGCUGUUUUGUAAAAUGUUUGUGAGUUUUUGACUAACAAUUAGAUUGACUGGGUGUGUCAAUAAAAUGUACACAUACUGUUCAAUAAUCUUGCUGUCUUAUUAAUCAGACUGUUCUAUUAAUUUAUUUAAUGGUUUCAGUUAGAACAUUGUGACAGAAAGGCAACGACAUCUUAUCUUAUUAGAUUGACUGUGUGUUUCAAUAAAAUUUAGAACAUUGUGACAGAAAGGCAACGACAUCUUAUCUUAUUAGAUUGACUGGGUGUUUCAAUAAAAUCUAGAAGCAUGUAACAGAAAGACAUCCACGUUAUCCCAGGAUCACAGGUCAAAGAACGUGCAGUAAACAGUCAAUGAUGUUAAGUGUUGCACCAACGAAAAAUAAAGUCAAGACUCGAAGGAUAUUCGAAGCCAUAAGCGACCCUUGCAUUUUCACGAAGCUUUGAACGUACCACGAGAUAUGAUCGAGCGAAGUCCACGGACGCGUUCUGCCAUAAAGUCGCGAUUUACGAAGCCGCUAGGAAACGACGAGGGUCGUAAAAAUCCCGCGCAACCACGGAGUCUUAUUUAAUAAAUUCCAUUUGCCAGCGUCGAUAACGGUGCCGCUUCCGCUACGACGGAAACGCUUUUCAUUUUUCUAUUUUUUCUUUCUUUUUAUUUUUUUUCGUCGAGUUACCGGGCGCGGCUUGCAAACUUCUCGCCCGGCACGGGGGACGGAGAGAAAUAGAGAGAGAGUCGAGCAGUCUCGCGUAAUAUAAUCAGUCGAUCUGAUCGAAAAAUAAUAGCCGCGUCUGCCGUCGGUCUGACUGUCGGUGAUUGAAAUUUCUCUCCCCUGCUUUCCCACCCUCCUUUCUAUACCAUGGUUGCUCAUACCGUUUCGUUCAACGAAUUUACUUUCUCCACCGAUCUUCCAUGUCUGCGCGCUAAAUAUCGACGUUUCGCCGUGUUUCUGUCACGAGGAUGCGGUUUAAUACGAACAUUGUCAUGACAGUCAUCGGCGACACGAAUUUAAUUCGAUUAAAUAAUUAUGGAAUAUCAAGAGGAAUAGAUGUUUUAUUAAUAGUACGUUGUGCGAUAUAAUGCGCGGCUAUAGAGCGACGGUAUAAUGCGCGGCUGUGUAAUGCGAUGAUGUAAUGCAUGACGUUGCAACGUGUAGAUAUGUCAUGUGUAGAGAUACAAUACGUCGUGAUACAAUAUGUAACGAUAUAACGCGUACAACGGAAGUACAACGCGUGACAAACUGGAGGCGUGGCGAUACAACGCGUUGUAAAUGCAAUACGUGACAAGUACAACGCGUGACAAAUUGGGGACGUAGAUAACAACGCGUAGUAAACAUAACGCGUGGCACAUACAACUCUUAAUAAAUGCGAUGCGUGGAAAAUACAACAGCCGAUGUAAUUGUUACACGUAAUGUAUUGCAAAUGCAAGGCAAAUAUGACACGCGACAAACUUCGCGUGCCGCAAAUAUACGGCGUAGUAAAUAUGUAACAAAUUCAACGCGUGGAAGUAGAACGAGCGGCGAUAAAAUAAUUAGCGAUA